rnacentral:tRNA from 1 species
CAGCAUGUGAGGGUUCGAUUCCUUCCUUUCUUG